UCUUCUUCGACCAUCGAAAACCCUUCCGUCACCGAACAUUGUGGUCUCACAACCUUGCAGAUUGAGAGGAGGCGUGAGGAGGUGGAGGCAAUGGAGGUUUCAAAAAACGCUUCCAAUGAGUGAAGCCUUGUUGCUGUUGUUUAUAUAGUUUGUGACGUUGUGCUCCUUCUUUCUGGCCAUUCUGGGUUACUAUAUCUCGAUCUAGAUUAUGCCACGCCAAGCACCGAAGCGGGUGCCCUAUCUUUGAAUGGGAGUCGAGUGUGAAAGGUCAGUUUCAAAAUGUCUAAGUGCGAUUUUGAAGUUGAUCUGCGCACAUCAAACUUGGUGUGCACGAGAUGCGGUGGUCGUGGAGUGCACCAAAUUUUAUCAAGAUUUUUUGUAAGACGAAGGAACUCAAAAAUGUCGCUUGGUAACAAUUUUUCUAGCAAUCCUUCGGACACUCUUCACACUUCUUCCGCUGUGUAGUUACAAAGAAACGGUAGUGUGUCGUUUGUUACGUGUAUGGUGAAGGAUUUCUUUGUGAAGAGAUUUUGUAAUGGAUACUGGAGAGGUCGUUUACGUACUGGAAUUAGAAGUUGUCAUUUCUAAAUUUCCUUACCAGAAAUGCAAACAAAAUAUGUAUGCCUGAUUUAUUAUACUCACUAUUUUAUCUACAUUUUUAAGGGAACCCUGUGGUAAACUUCAUAAUCUUACAAUAAUACUAUUUGUUUUCGAUACUCACUCCUGUGUGGCCAUUUGAAGCAGAAAUACUUCUUAUACACUCAUAUAUUUGUUUUCGAUACAAACUAAAGGAAAUUAGUGCAUAUAUGAAAGUUCUGAAGUUGGUGAUCAUCACCAUCUGUUGAUUUUUAAGCUAUGGAAAACUAUGUUUUGAAUUCAUUGUCCUCUCAAAUCAAUCUUAUUUGCUCUCGGGCUGGCAUACUACCUCGGUUCAGAAGCUCAGUAUGGCAUUUUGUUUUUUC